rfam:TPA: Bos taurus chromosome 10, whole genome shotgun sequence.
UCCCUGGUGGUCCAAUGGCUAACACUCUGCACUCCCAAUGCAGUUGGCCCAGGUUUGAUCCCUGGUCAGGGAA